AGUUUCUGAGUUGAAGCUUUCUGUCCUUCUGUCUGUUCUCAGUCGGAGUCGACUCGUACUGAUCUGGAGUCGACUCGAGCUCGUGCCAGUGAACUUGAUACGCUUGGAGUCGACUCGAGUCUCAGACAUUGGUUCAUGCAGACUUCUUAACUUAUCCAAAAUAUUAUGAACCAAGUCUAGAGACACUUAGACAGGAUUUUCACUGAAACACUUAAUUGAAUUCAUUAGUAAUCACAAGAUAUACUCAAAUACUUUGAGCUCAUCAAAAUCAAAUGGGGUUUUAAUCAAUCACUCCACAAUCUCCCCCUUUUUGAUGAUGACAAAACUUUGAGUAUAUGUAAAAUGAAUUGCUCAUAAAACAAUGAAGUAAAAUCCAUAAAUGAAUUCAAAUGUCUGAUAAUUUAAUUUAUCCAAGCUUGAAAGGAGUGAAACAUUAAAUUUCGGAGUUAAAGCUCCCCCUUUCAUUUGGAAUUAUAUAAGCCUUCAUAUUAUGCAAACAAUUGUUUGGCUUAUAUGUCAUUAAUGAUUUCGCUUGAUUAAAAUUCAGAUUCUCCCCCUCAACAUAUGCAUUCAACUAUGUUUUGAUUUUCUGAAUUUUCUUUUCAUGUUUUGAAGUUUUUGAACUGAAUUUUUUAUUUUUAGAGGGAAAAUCUGUCAAUUUGUUCUUGAGUAGGAUUCAGCUAAUCUCCGAAUAUCCCUUGAAUAGAUUUUGGAGAUUACUCCAUUAGGAGCCCCAAAAGAGAGAUAAUGAGCCUCGAGGUACCGAAUCCACUUAGAACAAAUUUGUGUGUGUUUUUAAGAGUUUAUCUUUUUAUUGAUUUCUUUUACAUAUUUUAUCCAUAUUUCUCCCCUUUUACAUAUUUUACACAUAUUUCUCCCCCUUUUUGUCGUCAUAUCAAAAAGGAGGUAAUCACACACAAUCAAUGGCAC
rnacentral:lncRNA from 1 species